CCAGAGAUCCUGACUGCUGAAGGUUAGCAUGCUCUCCCUCAGGCAGGAGCGAUGGACUGUGUUCGAUUUGCACAAAGCUUAACGCUUCACUCUCAUUUCAAACGGCAUACUGAUUUCAUAUUUGUGAAGACUUCAAUGUUGCAAGAGCAUCAGAGAUCAUUAGCAAAUGCAAAGGAACACUUAGAAAAAACAAAGGAAAUUUUGAUGAGUUGCAAAGAAGAAUGAAGCUGUGAGGGACAUUGGAAUCGGUCUGAUGUUAACCUCCAUGUUAGUUACAGCACAAAUAUUUCACCAAAUCACUGCAGAUGUUGUAUAGCAUUAGUUUAUUACUAUUGAUUUGUAAGCAAAUAGUGAAAGAAUUUUGUAGUUAUUUUUUUCCCAAAUUCUGUGAGAUUGCUUUAUGGUGACAUGAGCAGGACGGUUUCGACUGGACAGAGUAAAAUUGUAAAAAUGUUUAAUGAGCACUCAGUUUCUAAUCUGAUCAGCUGCAUGAAUUGAACAAAUAUCCCCAAAUGAAUAGGAGCGGAGUCACAAAUGUCACGUGAUCCACAAAUAGACGGGAAGUGAUUCAGAAAUGUGCAAAUCCAGUUUCAGGUGUACAAAUCGCUCCAUAUUUUUGUGGACUUGAUUAUAUACAGCAUAUAUAAAAAUACAUAUUUAUGGAUAGUGCUGUAUUUGUGAUUUUCUUUCUACUGAUCAGGGGGUAUUCCACAGAGCAGAAUUUCCCAGUUAGCCAGAAAACUUUAGCCAAAGGUAAAAACCAUCCAAUAGGAGGAGAGAGAAGUCACAUUCCUAUUGGAUAUUCCUUACAUUUGGCUUAAGUUAUCGAGCUAAUGGAAAACAAAAACCUGCUUUGUGGAAUUCCCACCAGCUGCGGUACAAAUUGCACAAAAAUCCACAAAUAAUUAGGAGGGAAUGUGACAAAUGAUACGUGAUCCACAAAUGUGCAAAACACGUUUCACGCGUACACAUUGUUCUGUAUUUUUGUGGAUGUCACGUUUCAGCGGGGGAAGGACCAUCCAAAGGCAGGCUGUCUGCAAGCGAAACCCCAGCAGGGGUGUUUAUUGUGGGGAAACAGGCAGGGAAGCAACACAGGCAGAAAGCAAUGCCCAGACUGGGAGUACAGGACUAGAAGACACUUUUAUACAUGACUAACAGAGGAGUGAACACAAGGCAGCUGUGGCUGGUUAACAAGAGGGCUAGAACAAGAGCUACUCCUGUUGGACGUGGUCAAUCCUUCAUGGCGGUAUUCCGACGUUACCAUGGAUACCAUGGCUCUUGAUACACCACAAAGACUUUACUGUCCUGGUUACAGAUGCGCCAGUGAGACGCGCACCAAGAAUUUGUCCUAUUUUGAAGUCUGAUAUGUCUCCCAUUACGUUGUGUGUGUUACAAUGUUUUAUGUGCUAUUGCUCCGCUAAUUCAACUUACACUCUAUGUAAGAACUGUCACAAAUACAUGAUUAAACUUGAUUAUUGAUUAUUGAAAACCAUUGAUAUACAUUUUCCUUGUUGAUUACUUGGCACAUAGCAGGUCCAAAUAAAGAGCUAAACAUCAGAUAUGAUGAAUCAUUUAACAUUAAAUAACAGUAAAGAAAAAUGCAGUUUUAUGUCAUCUCGAGGAUAGAUGGUCCCAGAACAGGUGACAGAGCAGUUAGAACAUAAGAACAUAAUAAAUUUACAAACGAGAGGAGGCCAUUCAGCCCAUCAAGCUCAU